rnacentral:lncRNA from 1 species
GGAGCUGGAGCUGGAGCUGCGAAUUCGGAGUCCCGGUUCCCUGUGCCACCUGGCGAGCUCAGCAAACUAAAAGGUAUGACGUGGAGCUGAGACAUAAUUGCACAUGCUUAGAAACAGAAUGGUUUCUCUUUUUUUUUUUUUUUUUGAGACGGAGUGUCGCUCUGUCGCCCAGGCUGGAGCGCAGUGGCGCCAUCUCGGCUGACUGCAAGCUCCGCCUCCCGGGUUCACGCCAUUCUCCUGCCUCAGCCUCCGGAGUAGCUGGGACUACAGGCGCCCGCCACCGUGCUCGGCUAAUUUUUUUUUUGUAUUUUUAGUAGAGACGGGGUUUCAUCAUGUUCUCCAGGAUGGUCUCGAUCUCCUGACCUCGUGAUCUGCCCGCCUCGGCCUCCCAAAGUGCUGGGAUUACAGGCGUGACCCGCCGCGCCCGGCCUCAGAAUGGUCUCUCGUCUUCUCUAGUUUUUCCGCCUACCAAAACAGAGGGAUCCUUUAAAACCUGGCCGGGCGCGGUGGCUCACGCCUAUACUCCCAGCACUUCGGGAGGACGAGGCGGGUGGAUCACCUGAGGUCAGGAGUUCGAGACUAGCCUGGCCAACAUGGCAAAACCCCGUCUCUACUAAAAAUACAAAAAUUAGCCAGGUGGGGUGGCGCAUGCCCGUAAUCCCAGCUACUCAGGAGGCCGAGGCAGAAGAAUCGCUUGAACCCGGGAGCUGUGAGCUCUGCAGUGAGCUAAGAUCACACCAUUGCACUCUAGCCUGGGUGACAGAGAGGGACUCCAUCUCAAAAAAAAAAAAAAAAAAAAAAAAACCUAAGUCAGCUCAUCUCCUUAUCUGCUUAAAACUUUCCGUUUCCUACAGAGUAAAAAUCUAAAACCUAAAGUACCUACAAGGCCCUUACCUAUCUGUCCCUCACGCCCACUCUGAUCAUCUCAGAUGUUUUCCUCCUCACUUACUUGCUUUCUACCCAGAUGAUGCUCUGCUGCUUUUCCAGAGCAGGCUUUACUUGGGGGCUUUUGCAUUAGCCAUUCCCUCUUCCUAGAAAACUAGCCAACAAACAUCCAUAGAAUAAUUCACCUCCAUCAAAUCUUUUUUUUUUUUUUUUUUUUUUUUUUUUUUUUUUGAGAAGCAGUCUCACUCCGUUGCCCAGGCUAGAGUGUAGUGGAGCAAUCUCAGUUCAUUGCAGACUUGACCUCCCAGGCUGAAGUGAUCCUCCCACCUCAGCCUCCCAAGUAGCUAGGACUACAGGCACACACCACCACGCCAAGCUAAUUUUUUGUACUUUUUGUAUAGAUGGGGUCUUGCCAUGUUGCCUAGGCUGAUGUCAAACUUCUGGGCUCAAGCAAUCCUCCCACCCUGGCCUCCUAAAUUGCUGGGAUUACAAGAAUGAGACACCUUGCCCAACCCUGAGAUCUC